rnacentral:snRNA from 1 species
UAUCUGUUCUUAGCAGUUUAAUAUCUGAUAUGUCCUUUAUCUGAGGACUCUAUAUUAAAUUGAUUUUUGAAAUGGGGAUGGAAUAGGAUCUUGCUCUGUCCAACCCA